rnacentral:rRNA from 1 species
UACAGAGGGUGCGAGCGUUAAUCGGAAUUACUGGGCGUAAAGCGUGCGUAGACGGUAAUGUAAGUCAGAUGUGAAAGCCCGGGGCUCAACCCCGGGAGGCGGGCGGAUACUGUCGAGCUAGAGUCCGGAAGAGGCGAGUGGAAUUCCUGGUGUAGCGGUGAAAUGCGCAGAUAUCAGGAGGAACACCAAUGGCGAAGGCAGCUCGCUGGGACGGUACUGACGCUGAGACGCGAAAGCGUGGGGAGCGAACAGG